GUUGACCUCGAAUCAGGUAGGACUACCCGCUGAACUUAAGCAUAC
rnacentral:rRNA from 1 species